rnacentral:rRNA from 1 species
UACAGAGGGUGCGAGCGUUAAUCGGAAUUACUGGGCGUAAAGGGUGCGUAGGCGGGUUUUUAAGUCAGAGGUGAAAUCCUGGAGCUCAACUCCAGAACUGCCUUUGAUACUGAAAGUCUUGAGUAUGGGAGAGGUGAGUGGAACUGCGAGUGUAGAGGUGAAAUUCGUAGAUAUUCGCAAGAACACCAGUGGCGAAGGCGGCUCACUGGCCCAUAACUGACGCUGAGGCACGAAAGCGUGGGGAGCAAACAGG